AAAAUGAAAAAAAAUCGAACUUGUGUAGUCGUCGGAAAAAAAGGCAAAUCGAGUAGUUGGAAUCAAUUUCUUCAAUGGCCAUUUCGAGUGUUUACUGGAAAAAUCGAACUUGUUGUGCUCCAUUAUUUUCCAACCCAGACUCCUACGGGAGGCAGCAGUGGGGAAUUUUCCGCAAUGGGCGAAAGCCUGACGGAGCAAUGCAGCGUGGAGGCCGAAGGCCCACGGGUCAUGAACUUCUUUUCCCGGAGAAGAAUAAAUGACGGUAUCCGGGGAAUAAGCAUCGACUAACUCUGUGCCAGCAGCUGCGGUAAGACAGAGGAUGCAAGCGUUAUCCGGAAUAAUUGGGCGUAAAGCGUCUGUAGGUGGCUUUUUAAGUCCGCCGUCAAAUCCCAGGGCUCAACCCUGGACAGGCGGUGGAAACUAUCAAGCUGGAGUACGGUAGGCCGUGUUCUUCCAUUAUUGACCUUGGUCGUGUUCUACCAUUAUCAAUUUCUUC
rfam:Beta vulgaris subsp. vulgaris Bvchr7.sca009.con0093.1, whole genome shotgun sequence.